CAAUGGAUCUUUAUAACAAGUAUUAUGUCUCUUAAACCCUACUUUAGAGGGUGAAAAUAAUCAAACACACAACUUAAUCUACGUUAAUUAUCCAAAAUGCUGAUUCCCCUUUAAACAUUUCAGACUGAUGACAUGAGGGGCUGCUAGCUGUUCCAUUGUGUUGAGUAGUGAUUCUGCUCCUUAACUGCAAUUGUCCGCCUUGAAUGUUUCACAGCUGAGAAGAGGGAGGCAUGGAGAGUCUGGAUCACUAAAGCCAACCUGCCAGGCUUGCAAGAGGCAGAGCCAGGAGGAGACCCAGGCAGCCUGACUCCAGAAGCUAUGUUCCUAACCAAAGUCACACUGGGCAACCCUGUACUUGACCACCUUAUUCUCUACAUUUUCAUCCUUGAGGCAGAAAACAAGCGAAGGCUCUUCCAGGCACACAGCUUGUCCAUGCUCAGCCUCCCUUGCAUUUAUGCUAUAAGCAGACUGGUGUGCGUUAUUGGCAGAUCUUCCCAUAGAGCCAUCCCCUCCAAUAGCUGCCUUAGUGCUGUCCACCUGCCACAAUAAGGGAGGAGGCCCUAGAAAUAGCAACAUGGACGAAUGGACAGUCUGGGCACUUCAAAGACUGAAUGGAACCCAGGUCCUUCCAUCUCCACGCCAACCCCAGUCCACAAUGUCUAACCAUCCUGGCCUGUGACCAACGUGAGAAAGAAAUCAUUAUUAUGCUAAGCAGCUGAGAUGUGGGAGUGGGUUACUUUAAUUCAACAGUGUUCGGGUCCUCUAUAAAACUGACUGGCAGUUACAAUUUAUUUGUAUGUUAUUCACUUACUGCUGUCUUCUUUGCUCAAUUGUAAGCUCUGUGAGGGCAGCGACCAAAUCUAUUUCAUCUACCACCAUAGCUAAUAGCAAAUGCCCAGCCUGCAGCAAACACUCAGUAGUAUUUGUUAAUGGAAUAUUGGGAGGGCGGGAAAUGAAGGCAACCAAGUGAUCAGGGGUCAUGGCCACAAAGUGCUCCCACUGCCAGUGACAUGGGAACUGUGCUUAAUGAAAUUUAAGUCAAGAAUCAGAAACGCUAGUGUCUUUAAGUGUAUUCUUAAAUGAAAACUUUAGGUUCAAAGGUUGUAUAUAUUCUUCCCGAAGAGAGGUAUUAAUAUAAAAUUAGAAUGCAGCACCAAAUUAUGUCCCUAGAUCUGGUAAAAGUCUACCCUGCAUGGCUCAUAGAAGGUUUGAACGGAGGGUGGGGUCCUAGAAACCCACAUUCAGGUGGGAGGCCCCUGCCCCGUAGGACCUCUCUCCUUUAACUGACUUACUGAAAACACACUGAGAAUCCUUUGAAAUGGGGCUAUGGUCUCUCCCUGCUAUCAUAGCCUCCCCAAGACGAUACACUAAAUGAAUGGAAAAGAAAAUCUUCCUGAGAACCCACCAUGGACUAGCCAUUAAUAUCAUUCACCUAAUUCCCCACAUCAAUCCUCUGGAACAAGUAAUGAAAUAAUCAUAACAAUAAUAACCAGAAAAAUAAUAAUUCCAGUUUCGACCUACUUUCUAUUAUGGACUAGGCAUAGACAAUGUCAUACAUGCUACAGACUUUAUUACAUUUAAUUAUUGCAACACAUCCAGGAAAUAAAUGCCAAGAAAUGUUAAGGUUCUGAGAUUUCACCCUACUUUUAACUAGCAAGUUAGCCUACCACAGUCUUUUGGAUGCUGGCAGAAGAUAUGCAAGCCCUGGGUCAGAGACAAAGUACCAUUUACUAUUCACAGUAAUAGCAAUAACCGGAGUCACAUCAUUUGUGCUGGUUUCUGGGGCCCCAAUUCUCACAGGGUGAUGUGAAGAAGGGCCAGAUAGAUGCUGUACACACUGUGGUUUGCAUUACAAAUGAAGGACCUUGAGUUUAGAAAACCCCAGGAUCUCACAGGGCCUGCACACAUAUACCUUCCAAGCUCUAACAUGGACGGACAUUAUUUUUAUUUUCCUGGACAGAAAACAAAUCUUUCAUCUGCUCUAUAAGAAGAAACUUGUGUCUUCCACAGUGUUCAUGAUAUAAAUAUCCUUGAAAAAACCAGUCUGGAACAAAAGCUGAAUUAAUUUGUUCACAAAACAUGCAGAAAUGUGACAGACCCAUGGAGAUUUGUUUCCUAUUUUACGAAUGUGAUAACAGGUCUAGAGUCAUUGAGUAAUUUCCCCAAUUAACUUACCAUGACUGGGAAGAAGAGAAGCAAGGAUUCCAACUCUGGUCUAACUAACUCUAAAAGCCACAUCCUAACUACCAUGCAACAUUUUUUUCUAGGUUUUCCUGAGCAGGAGACCAGGGUUUAAGGAAUUAAAGAUAAAGUCCCUCAAUGCUGAAGGAGAUUGUGAGGAAACUGAGAUUUGAGUCCACACCAUCCAACUCCAGAACUGGUGGUGUUACCAUCACACUACAGCUACUGACCAAACAAACACCAGCAUACGUGAGUUUUAGGCAAUGCAGGCAAAGUGAACACAGCCAGGCAAAGUGAACACAGCCAGGAAAGGUGUGGAGAAAACGGGAGGCACAAUUUACUCAGGUGAGGUGGGAAGGCCCCAUCAGGGUCAAAGGAGAGAGAGAGACAGAGGCAGAGAGAGAGAAGCUAAGAGGGUGUGACUGGACUGGAGCUUGAAGGUUGGUUUUUACUUUACAGUGUGUAGUUUCUGUGCAGCCAUCUAAUUCACAUGCAGAUUGUCAGUAUUGUGUUUGAUGGACAAAUCUUUUGAGAGCAGACUUGCCUCUCCCUUUCAGAUGAGUUUACCCGCUUGCACCAUCCCAUAUUACAAUUGCCCCAGCUACCCAAAAUCUUAGGCAGGAUGGCCACAACAAACAGAUCUCACCAGUCAUGGGAAUAUAGGCUCCAUCCUCGGAGGUUUGUAGGUGAUGUCUACAGGCUUUAAAAUGAAAUAAGCCAAACCUCCACAUAGGAAAAUGAGAAAAGAAUAUGAAAAGAAAACUCAUUAAAAAAAAAGACAAGACAAGACAAGGGAGAAAGGGGAAUGGCUUCUAAACCUAUAAAGAGAAGUGAGGGCCCCUGAGAGUAACUGAAACACAAAUUAAAAUCCCAUGGGGACACCAUUACUCAGCUGUCAGAUUGGCAAAAUCCAACGCUUCGACCACUCAGUCACUUUCUUGGGAUGCCAGGAAGCAGACACUCCUUAUGUUGCUACUGUUAUAAAGAGUUACUCAUUGCAGCAUUAUGCAAUGGCAAAAGAUUGGUUACAACCUAGGGGGCAAUGAAAUAACUGAUUAAGUAGAGUCCAUUCAUAUAAUGGAAUACUCUUCAGCUAGUAUUUAAAAAAAAAAUGAAGGAGCUCUUUGUGCACUCAUAUGGGAAGAUAACCAAAAUCUAUUAUUAAUGGUAAAAAAAAAAAAGCAAAUGAGUAUAUUAUGCAACAUUUUGUGCAAUAAAUGGGAGAAUGAUAGUGGUAAAAAAGAAACAUUUUAUAUUUACUUAGAUAUGCAAAUAAGGAACAAACGAUGUAUAAAAAGAGCAGAAGUACAGACAGCACAGGGUGUUAGAAAGAUGGUUUUAUGUUUACUUCAUGACUUUCCAUACCUUCUGGUUGUCUGGACCAUUUCAGUACACUUUAAAAAUUCAGUUAAAUUGCUAACACUACAAAUUUAUGAUCAAGGAUUAUCUCUUCUGCAAGAUCAAGUCUUAGGAUGGGGAAAGUUGGUCUCCUUGGAUUUCACUAGGCAGUUUCAUAAGCUUCUGGCAUUAUCGUCACUUGUGAAAACAGAAUUGAUUUCACCAUUAGAAAGCAGCAUGGAUUCUACUGCUAGACACUGGAUUUCUUUCCUCAGCAUCUUGCCUGGUUUGAAUAAGACUGUGAAAGUUCUUUCUCCUCCCUCAGUUUUCUAAGCACCUUUUGGGAAAAUCUUUCUCUGGGUCUAACUCAUCACCUGUCCUUCGUAAUACUAAUUAAGGUGCUUGAUCUGCACCCAUCCCUUCUCCCCCAAAACACCCAGAGGUGUGCUGAUAAAGGUUUAUAACCAGGUCAGUAAGGUGGCGGGGGGGGAAGGAAAGCCUUGACUUUUAGUUGAUUUCCACACUAUAAAUAUAUACCAUGGCUGUUAACAAGUCAGCAAUGUGAUGUCAUAGAGAAGCACUGUAAACAAUUAUACAGUAUUUCUACUAUACGAAUUCAAUAGAAGUAAAUGACCUCAAUCACAGAGAUAACAGUACAACGCAGUAAAAUUAUUAGGAAGUAUGAAUUUUGAGUAUUUACUUUGUUUUUAAUUUAUUGGAUUGUAAGUUUAGGUCACUUAAUUUUAACGUUCAUUUAAAAACUACCUCUCAAAUUUCCUAAAUAUUUAAGUCAGCUCUUAGGAGCUGAUACACCGGCCACUGCCAUACCCCAAAGCUCUCUUCAAGGAGGUGAACUCUUUCUGCACUGGCAUACUCUUUCUGCGCUCUGCUUACAAAGCCAACUUUGGAAAACUGAACAAGACAUCCCAUGCUAGUUGAUGGGUUAAGAGCAAAUGUUGUAAAAUAUUGAGUCCUAGAAAGUCCCAGACACUGUGGGACAUGCUUUCAGUCACGAUUUCAUUACGUCUUCACAUUAACUUUACAAAGUUUCAAAUAUUGGUUCCCGUGACAAAAUGAAGAGAGAGGCUCUUAGAAAGGAGGCACACGUAGCAUGGCAACCAAGCCACACUCACGUCUGUUCUUGAACUCACACUUUGCUGCUUGGAGAUGGCUUCAAGAGAGGGUUUAAACUGAGUCAGGCAAAGACCCCUUCCUUCCUAGGGGUCAAGGUUAGGAGAAGAACCAAAGAGAUAUACAGACUAACAGAUGGCCCUGUUCCCCAUACUCCAAGCAAACACCUUGAUACUAUUUUUGAAGAUGUUUUUGACCUUAGGUUUUCCAUAUUAAAUGUAGUCCAGAUGUCUCUCAGAAUAUUUUUCUCACUCAUGCUCUGGGUUCCUGGUUGGAAGCUUUUAGAAUCCAAACCUGAUCCACCUUUAACCCUACUUUCCUUCCUUGUCCUUGCCACUCUACCCUUUUGUCUUUCUCUAACCCAUCUCCACCAUCACCUUGCCUUCCUUGGGCUUCCUUCAGGAAUCUACAAUCUAACCAUUCUCUUUUCCAAACUAGCUCCUCAGGAAAUGAUCUCCAGUUAGCCAAAUGACUCACCUGUCUUCAAGUCAACUGCAUUUUCAAGAGCCAAAGGAAUGAGGCUUCUUAUUAAAUGGCUAAGGAGUAGUUUAUACUUGUACUUCUUUGUUUUUGUCAUCUUGUUCAUUUUUGUUUGUUUGCUUGUUUGUUUUACCUUUUGGUACAAGUGGGCAUGGAUAGGGUAGGAAGAUCUUUCUUAGACUGGUGUUUGCCAAACUUUGCCACACACUGGAACCAUCCAGGGAUCUUUAAAACACACACACACACACACACACACACACACACACACACACACUGAUGUCAGGGUUCCAUCUUGGAAUUUCUUAACUGAUAAGGGGUGGGGCCUGGACAUUGGGAUUUUUUGAAGCUGACUUCAUGAUUCUAAUGUGCAGCAAAGUUUGGCAAAUGCCAGCUAUUAAAAAUUCACCCUGUGGAUGGCUUUGCUGAGAAAGGCCACUCUCCCAAGGGCCUUCCUCAUCGAUCUGGUAUAGGACAGGUCCAUUAAUAAACACUUCAAUUAACUAAAUUUUCACUGAACCCUCUCUUUCUACCUUAGGCCUGGUGGAUUCAUGAUGUUUCAAAUUCAUGAGAUUCAAUCUGAUUUAGUUUCCCAGCACCUCCCUGCUUUCAAACAAAAUAAAACUAAACGACCUCUCCCCCAAAAGAGAUGGUUACUAAAUAGAGUGUAACUCAGCUGGCAGUGGAAAAUGUUUUUCAAUGGCUUAGUAAGUUACUCCAAUAGACACAUUUACAUGCAAAUAAUUAAUGGACAAAUUAUAAACUAUUUGUUUUUAUUCAUUAAAGCAGAACCAUGAUUUAUUAAAGCAGGAACCAAAACAAAUGCUCUUAUUGUACAAAUGAUCCGUAGUUGUUACAGAAAACUUAGAAUAUAAAAACUCAGCAUGUAUAUAAGAGAAAAAUAUCUCCAGGCUUUUCAGAAUCCAUCCAGUGGAAAAUAUGACUAAUGUAAGGUCAGUGUUAAUUCAUGAAUUCAGAAGCUUGGGAAGAAUUUACAUCUUAUGCAGCAUAUGCCCUUGGCCAAGUUGAGGUCACCCAAAGGCUUUGUUUUUCACUUGCUUUUGCAUAGGACACAGGAGCUGUGAAGCUGUAUUACCUCCAUUUCCCAGGGCAAGUGUCUUUUGUUUAUGGCCUACUGAGACAUUUAAUUAUGAAGACCUGAAUCAUUCAAUAAGAGGCAAUACCAUUCAGGUAAAUUCACCUGGGGUAUUUUCCUGAUACUAGUCUAUUGUUUUCCUUACUAAGUUUCCUUAACCAGCUUCAUUCUAGGGCCAUGGUCAGGUCUCUUUAGCACAAAGCCCAACUAGGGUCUGAGGAAUGCAUUGGCAAAUGGAUACAUUAUACAGCAAAUCUACCAAAAUGUUGAGUGUAGAAUACACUCAAUGGUUAGUCUACAAGAGUUCAUCCUACCAUUCUUUCAGUUUAUCUGUGUGCUGGAAAAUUUUCAUGAUGAAAUGCUGGGGCUGAGGAGAGUCUACAUCUUAUCCUGUUUCUAUACUCAAACUCCCACUGCUCAUGAAAUGACAGUGAUGGACAUUUCUAACUCGGUCUCAGUAAAUUUCAGCUAAAUGAGUAAUGUUGAUGAAUACCAGCUAAUUCAUAAUUAAUAAUCAAUGAACCAGACACUGUGCUAAGCUAUUUGUAUACUACAUUUCAUUAAAUUCUAUUAUUAAAUCUGUGAGGUAGAUGCUAGUAUUAUUUCUGGUUUACAAAGAAGGAAAUCAAAGCUCAGAGAGGAGAGUAACUUGCUUAAGCAAGUGACCUUUAGAAGGCUCAGUCCUCAUUCCCUGGUUUUAAUUAGUCUAUCUUUUUGGUUAAAUGAUAAUGCACAUCCAUAAAAAUACACAAAUUAUAAGGGUCCAGCUGUGAAUUAUCCUAAGGUGGGCAUAUUUGUGUAAUUAGCACCCAGAUUAGGAAAGAUAAACUCCCCAGAACCUUUAAAGCUCCCUCAUUCUCCCUCCCAAUCACUGCCCCUGUGCCUCAAGUUACCCCCUCUCCUAACUUCUAAUCAUCUAGAUUCAAUUUAUUUGUCCUUAUUCUUGCUGUAUCCAAAUUCUCAGGGAAAAGUUCUCCUUUUGCAAGUAGUAGCUUUCUCAUCCCAAAGAUUUCUGGUUAAAAAGUGAGCUGAAUAUGCCGCUACCUGAAAGUACAAGGUUUCUUUCUCAUCUGCUACCCAGGGCUUCCAGGUUGCAAAAAUAAACACUUCAAUGAAACAGAAAUGGUGGUUAGGAGUAAAGGUAUUGUGCUCCACUCCUUCACUAGUGGAGAGAUCUCCACACUCUUGGAAUUAUUUCAACACAGGAUGAUGGAGACCUACAUUUUAAUUCUGCCUCUGAUGUAUUUGUUAAUUUAAAAAGUUAACAGACACAGUGAUACAGAGCAAUAGGAAAUUGACAUGUGUCCUCAAUAUGUCGACAAUUAGGUUAGAGAUGAAAACAAAGAUAUGAGAUAAUUUUGAACAAUGCUCUUGUAAGGUUUGGACUGGUUUUCACAAGUGGGAACACAUAUAUGUUUCCUUCUUGUUAUGUACCAGGCAUAAGACUAGGCAAUUUCUUUACCUUGUUUUCAGUUAAUCCUCAUUCAUCAACUGAUCCUUCAUCCAAUAAAUAUCAUUGUGCAUUUCUUAUGUGCUAUGUGCUAAGGAUAUUGUUAUAAACAAGACACAUAACUUCUUGCGAGUCUGUAAUUUGUAGUCUGGGGCAUGCAUUCUCAACAGGCAGCAACAUUGCCCCAAAAGGGCAGGAAUUCUUGGGGGGGGCAAAAAAUUAAAUCUUACAAUAUUUUAUGACCCUUUAAGGGACCACAGGACACAAACUGACAGAAUAUCUGCGAUGUUAAAAUAUCACGGGGAGGGGACAGCACAAUUAGGAAAAAAUGUGCCAAAAAUAAUCCUUCAAGAACACUAAUGUAACACAAAUGAGAAACGCUGGUCUACAGAGAACUACAGCAAAUAGGUCAUGAGUAUUAGAAGAGCAGAGAUACAGGGACCUUUGAGAACAGGUAGCUGUGAGUUCUUGUAGGCAACAACUUGGGAGGUACCAGCAGGUACCUGAAGGGAUUCUUGGGGCAUCUGUAAUAUUCCAUUUAUAAAUAGAGAUACUGGGCUUAAUUAGGCUGACAGCUAACUAAGAUCUCCUACCUGGUAAGUGAGAGGCAAAGGUGAUUUCACAUCCAGAGCCCUCUCCACCUGAUUCCUGUCCAAGUGUGUGUAUGCUCUUUGAUCCUACCAGUGACAGAAGUAGGAUUCUAGAUCAAGUCUGUCUACUCUGGACACCAAACAGUGGACUUGCUCCCUCUUGGCUGUAAUCAACUAAGAGCUUCAUGUCAAAUUUCUUCUUAAUGUAAAUGUAGAAUCCAUACAAUUGGCUUGUAAUAGUGAAAAGCUCUGAUUUAAGGAAAACAUUAUGUCUUUUCCCAAAGAGCAGUGAGACUUAGCUUUUACUGGGUCAGCAUAAGCCCAGGGAUGAAUCUGUGCCUCUCAUUUAAAGCUAACUCAAGUGCAGCACCAGCCCAGACCUGUAUUUUAUCUUCUGUCCCUCGCAGCAAACGCUCACUGCGGCUGCAGAUUUGGUGUUGAUUUAUGGCUUCUAAAGACACAGCCAUAGAAUUUUCUUCUUCUAUUAAAUUCUAGCCAAUUCUCUCUUCACAGCUUCUUACUGAAAUUUUCCUCCAUAAAAUCCCAAGUAUAGACUUUCCAAAUUUCUGCACUGCCACAGCACUUCCAGGAUUUGAACUACUAAGUGUAACGGGCCGUUUCCCAGGCCUGUAACCUAGUGGCAAAACUGGAACCAGAGCAAUUAGCUUAAUGUGAAAACCACACACAAAGUGGCUUCAGGAUAAUACUGUCCUCCACGUUUUUUUUUUUUUUUUUUGGAACUGGCCCAUGAGCUAAGAUUUUUUCUUUGAGAACUUCCUGGCUAGCCCUAACCUAUAUCUCUGCUUUUUGAUCAACUCCCAAACUCUCCUUCUGUUGUUGCCUUUACUACCACCCAUUACCCUCUAUUCUGCCUUCUCCUCAGUUAUUGAACCAGGUGGGUGACAUAGAGGCAUUGUCAAAGGUCAUAUGGUAAGCCAUGAAAUUGAAAAAUCUGUCUCAUAUUAACCUCUCUGUUCUGAACCUUUUAUGUAAGACUGACUUCUUGACAGAGAUGUGUGUUUCCAUACUUGCUUCUGGUUUAUUCAUUCACUUAUUUGUUCAUUCAAUUAUUCAUCUGAACAAAAACUUAGAAUACUUAUUGUGUAUGUGUGCUACAGUUGAGAACCAGUCCAGAUCCCAGCCCAUCACAGAGUCUUAUUUGGGGGGAGGGGGCCUUGGAGCAAAACACAAGCAAGAAAAUAGCUAAAUUUAUUUGUAACUUGAUUGUAACUAUCUACAAAUGGCUAUGAAGGAAACUAUCAGAGGAGAAGGAGAAGGAGAAUGAUAAAGAGGGAUAAGGUCCUGCUCAAGAGAGGAUGAGACAGGAAAUGCAUCUUAGAGCAGGUGGUAUUUGAAGUUAAGACAUAAAAACAGAGAUGAAGAAAGGAAUAGGAAGGUCAAGGGAGUAUAUUCCAGGUAGAGGAAUUUGUAAGAGUAUAUUCUAGGCAGAGAGCAGUACAUGCAAAGAGCUGGUGGUAGAAACUAACUUAGAUGCUCCAGAAACUGAAACAUCAGUGUAGGAGCACAGUGAGAGACAGGCAGGCGUUCGGUAAUAGACACCUAGGCAGGUCUUGAAAGACUUUUAUUAUAGGUUGAAUUGUAUCACUCCUAAAGAUACAUAGGAGUCCUAACCUCCAGUACCUCAGAAUGUGACUGUAUUUGGAAAUAAGGCUUUUGCAAAUGUAAUCAAGUUAGGAGGAGGUCAUAUGCAAUUAGGCUGGGUUCUGUCCCAAUAUGAUCCUUUAAGAAAAGAAAAGAGAGACAGACACACAGGGAGAAUGCCAUGUGAUGAAAGAGGCAGAGACUGGAGUGAUGCAGCUAUAAGGCAAAUUAUGUGAAGGAUUUCCAGCUACUACCAGGAGCUAGAAAGAAGCAAGGAAAGAUUCCACCCAGAGACUCAGAAGGAGCAUGGCCCUGCCAGUAUCUUGAUUUAGGACUGUUAGCCUCCAGAACUAUUUUGUUGCAAGUUCUGUUGUUGUUUUAAUCCCCCAGGUAGAUGGUACUUUGUUAUGGCAAGACUGGGGAACUAAUACAACCUUGUAGAUGUCACUAAAGACUCCAGAUUUCAUUCUAAGUGACUGAAAACAGGACAGCAGCUGGGGAACACUGGAGACUUGCAGCAGCAAAGAGAGAGAAUGGUGGUGGCAUGGACUAAGAUCGGCACAGUGGAGAUGAAGAGAAAGCACUAGCUAGGCUUUGAUAUGGGAGCCAGUGUUUUUAUGUAGGAGAGUGGAAAAGACAUAGAAACUAGAAUUCCUGAAGUCACUUGGGGUAAGUUUAUAAAACAAUUCCAUAAUUUAUUCUGAUAAGUAUGAACCAUCGACUUGCUGGGAAGAUUUACACAUAAUAAACAUCUAAGAAAGUUACCAACUCUUGCUACUGUUAAUAUUACUAUAUCACAAUCCAAUGAGGGCUGGCACAAAAUCUGGCUCCAUAAUGUGUGUACCAUGUUAAAUUUAGUGUCGGGAAGUGUGUGUCCAAGUCUCCAUUCUUCUAUUUACUUUUAUAAAAAUGUUUGAAUAGGAAACUUCUGAUAUUUGACUAUUUUUGACCAAGAAAAAUUUCAAUGUCCUAUGGCUUAACCAAAUAUAUUCACACAGAAAAGAAUAUGUACAAUAUAUAAUAAAGUAUAAUAAAUGUUGAUGUUUAGCAUACUUGCCAUUUAAGGACCAGAAUAUUGCCAGACUCUUGUCUUUCUCUCAACCCCUAUCAUUGUGAUGACUAAUGCUUGGUCUUAUUUUAAAUAUGUAUAUAUUUUCCUCUUACAAAUAUAUCAACUAUUAAAAAGAAAACCACAAGCCUAAAAUGGAA